ensembl:lncRNA
GACCGCCGAUCGACCGGUGGUAGAUCGUGGAUCAGGGAAACCGAAGGCAGGAGAAGCAGGCGGCUGCCGGUCGGAGCGUGAGGUGAACUGAAUUUCAGAGAGCAGAGGAGACACGAGGAGGCCUGAGAAGGGGACAGAUAGAGAAACUUUCCUUCAGCUUCCUAUGAUAGUGUAGAGAAGCACACACCCCCAUCACCAUCAACAGCGCUGCUGUGGAGAGUGGGAGCAGCUUCUGUUUCCUUGGUGUACAUCUGGCUGAGGAUCUCACAUGGUCAGUACACAUAAAGAAAACAGUGAAGAAGGCACAGCAGGGCCUCUUCUUUCUCAGGAGACUGAAGAGAUUCAGCAUGAAGCCCCGCAUCCUUAGGACCUUCUACUGCUGUGCCACUGAGAGCAUCCUCAUUGGAUGCAUCACCACCUGGUACGGCAACAGCACCGCUUACAACCACAAAGCUCUGCAGAGAGUGGUGCGGUGUGCAGAGUGGAUAAAUGGAGGUGAGCUUUCCUCCCACCGAGACAUCUGCAAGAAGCGGUGCCUGAGGAAAGUGGGAGAUGCAUCAAGGACUCCAGUCAGCCCAGCCAUAAAAUGUUCAGGCUGCUUCCAUCAGGCAGGAGCUUCUGCAGUAUCUGGUCUCAAACCAGCAGACCGAGAGACACUUUUUCCAUCAGGCCACCAGACUGCUGAACACUGACCACUGCCAUAGACACUUCACUGUCACUCACCCAAACUUGGACUCGUAUACUCCAUAUUGUACAGAAACGCCCUCUUUGCCCACUUUCCCUCUCUUCUCCUCUCUUUCUUUCCUUCAGUCACUUCUCGUUAGUCCACGGGGAUCAGUCCGGCCCAGGAGCCGGCGCCAGUCCCCUUCAAGGCCUUCCCCAAACCGCAGCACCAGUUCACACUUCCUCGUCCCUCAUCGCCCAUCGUUACAGAGGAUGUGGUCCUUGCUAGUAAAAUAUAUAUAUGUAUAUACACGCAACACACAUGUUUAAAAUGUGCAUAUUUAUUUUUAUAUUUAUUAUCUCUUAUAUUUAUUUAUUUUUUACUUCUGUAUUCCUGCAAACUAUUGCUUGUGCAGCUUGCACACAAGAAUUUCACUCACAUGCAAC